rnacentral:rRNA from 1 species
AGCGAACGCUGGCGGCAGGCUUAACACAUGCAAGUCGAGCGGGCAUCUUCGGAUGUCAGCGGCAGACAGGUGAGUAACACGUGGGAACGUACCCUUCGGUUCGGAACAACUCUGGGAAACUGGAGCUAAUACCGGAUACGCCCUUAUGGGGAAAGGUUUACUGCCGAAGGAUCGGCCCGCGUCUGAUUAGCUAGUUGGUGGGGUAACGGCCUACCAAGGCGACGAUCAGUAGCUGGUCUGAGAGGAUGAUCAGCCACACUGGGACUGAGACACGGCCCAGACUCCUACGGGAGGCAGCAGUGGGGAAUAUUGGACAAUGGGCGCAAGCCUGAUCCAGCCAUGCCGCGUGAGUGAUGAAGGCCUUAGGGUUGUAAAGCUCUUUUGUCCGGGACGAUAAUGACGGUACCGGAAGAAUAAGCCCCGGCUAACUUCGUG